rnacentral:rRNA from 1 species
AACGCGAAGAACCUUACCCAGGUUUGAAAUACAGGAGACGAUAUCAGAAAUGAUAUUUUCCGCAAGGACUGCUGUACAGGUGCUGCAUGGCUGUCGUCAGCUCGUGUCGUGAGAUGUUGGGUUAAGUCCCGCAACGAGCGCAACCCUUGUCCUGUGUUGCCACUCCCGUAAGGGAAGCACUCUCAGGAGACCGCCAGCGAUAAGUUGGAGGAAGGUGGGGAUGAUGUCAAGUCAUCAUGGCCUUUAUGUCCAGGGCUACACACGUGCUACAAUGGACGGUACAAAGCGCUGCAAACCCGCGAGGGGGAGCCAAUCGCAAAAAACCGUUCUCAGUUCGGAUCGCAGGCUGCAACUCGCCUGCGUGAAGCUGGAAUCGCUAGUAAUGGCGUAUCAGAACGAUGCCGUGAAUACGUUCCCGGGCCUUGUACACACCGGAGUA